rnacentral:rRNA from 1 species
AGAGUUUGAUCCUGGCUCAGGAUGAACGCUAGCUACAGGCUUAACACAUGCAAGGUCGAGGGGGCAGCAUAAUCGAAGCUUGCUUGAUUGAUGGCGACCGGCGCACGGGUGAGUAACGCGUAUCCAACCUUCCCCUUAGUAGGGCAUAGCCCGGCGAAAGUCGGAUUAAUACCCUAUGUUAUUCGUUGAGGACAUCUGAAAUGAAUCAAAGAUUUAUCGCUAAGGGGAUGGGGGAUGCGUCUGAUUAGGUUGUUGGCGGGGUAACGGCCCACCAAGCCUACGAUCAGUAGGGGUUCUGAGAGGAAGGUCCCCCACAUUGGUACUGAGACACGGACCAAACUCCUACGGGAGGCAGCAGUGAGGAAUAUUGGUCAAUGGGCGAGAGCCUGAACCAGCCAAGUAGCGUGCAGGAUGACGGCCCUAUGGGUUGUAAACUGCUUUUGCAUGGGAAUAAAGUCGGGGACGUGUCCCCGUUUGUAUGUACCAUGAGAAUAAGGACCGGCUAAUUCCGUGCCAGCCGCCGC